CUCGGAAGCUCUUAUAAGUAAGAAGCUUUGACAACAUUACUCAGAUUUUCUACCACAAUGUUUUGGACCACAGAGGCACCAGCAUCUACAUCUGCACACAAUGGCAUUUUAUUAGUGACACAGGGGAUCAGUUAUAUGCUAUAUUGCAUCUGUGCUGUUACGGUGAUUGUGCUUUUGUGUCAUUGCUUUAAUGGACUCUCCAAGAGAUGCAGGCAAAACUGUAAAACAGAAGUCACACUGGAGUUGGGCGACACUUCUAAUCCAGACUGCAACUCAGAAAACACAAAGGCAAGUAGGGUGAUAGUAAAAAAAGAGUUUUUAACUUCAAAGAUACUCAUGCAAACUAGAGUCUGUGGAAUUGAUCGGUUCUCUUGUGUUUAGGAUGGGUGCGACUCAUCGUCAGCAGUACUCCAAGAAAAUAACAGUGUCAGAAUGAGCUCCGUCUACCAGAGCCUCAUCCUGUCCACCUCUGAGAGACAGUCAAUCUAUGAGAGUCUUUAUAAAGAGGGAACUAAAAUUCCAGAAAUUUAUGAGAAUUUUUAGUGAUGGUAAAAUCACUGUAAUGCACAGACCCAAAUGGAUUAUUGCUUUUAAAACUGAACAGCUAAAAAAACAGAUAGAAAAAUAUCAAUGUUCAACUAAUAGCCAAAUGUAUCAUAAGGAACAAACAUUUAUUCUCAGAUAUAAGAGUCCAAUAUAUAAUGUGCUGUCCCAUGUGUGUGUUUAUAGUCAUUUUACAAUCGAUUGUGGCUCAAAAUUUAGAGUCAGAACGACAAGUUUUAUAGCUAAACACACAUGCAGGCGGAAAUAUUUGACUACUGACCAUUUUUAAUGGAUUAUUUUAUAUAAUUGUACUAAAUUAAAGUCUAAAAUUGACAGCCUAGUUAUGACCCAUAAAUCUAUUUCCCAAAGACUUGGGAAAACUAUGCUACUUCUAUUCUUUUUCCACAUCAAGGAAGUAUUUAGGUGUUACAGUAUAUAGGCCCUGUCCUAAAUGGAACCUUAAACACUGACAUUCUUCCUACGAGUCCCCACUUUUGUGACGUAACACUACUUUGAUUGUCGGGAAAAAGUCCUCUGGGGACAAAUGGGACACCCACGGUCUCACGGCCAGCCAUCAUAAUAUAAUAAUGAUAACAAUAAUAAUAAUAAUAAUAAUAAUAUUUAAUUUAAGCAUUUUAUGCAGUCAGUGUAUAUAGUGUCUUAUGCAGUCAGAAUAUUAUUCUUAGGCAUUUGGUUUUCCAAUGUGGUUAAAGGAUAAUUAGAGGUGUCAGGGGACACCUCCAAGUCAGGUGCGUAGGGAAAACAUUUUUUUUUUUUG